UACGUAGGUGGCAAGCGUUGUCCGGAUUUAUUGGGUUUAAAGGGUGCGUAGGCGGCCUUGUAAGUCAGUGGUGAAAUACUCCAGCUUAACUGGAGGGGUGCCAUUGAUACUGCAGGGCUUGAGUACAGAUGAAGUAGGCGGAAUUGACGGUGUAGCGGUGAAAUGCAUAGAUAUCGUCAAGAACUCCGAUAGCGAAGGCAGCUUACUAAGCUGUAACUGACGCUGAGGCACGAAAGUGUGGGGAUCAAACAGG
rnacentral:rRNA from 1 species